AUCAGAUUGAGAGACUUAUCUGGGAAGUCUGUAACAACAACAACAACAGAAAAACAUUUCUCGCUGAAUCAACUCUACAAGGCAGCUAUAAUGGUGGGAUUGGGAAUUUCUCACACGCGCAAAGGAAAUUGGUGUGGCUCAAUCAACAACCCUUCCUAAUAGGAAAGUCUCUCCAUUAAAGCAGCUUUUUACUUCAAGGAGAUCAUCUCUUUCAACUCUCUUCUUCUUUUUGUGGAACUAUUGAAACUUCUUGUAGAUGAA
rnacentral:misc_RNA from 1 species